UGGGUCGGCUGGACGGUCGCGUCGCUGCGGUUCGCCGCAGCGCCGAGGAACGUCCGGGCUCCACAGGGCAGGGCGGUGGGUAACACCCACCCGGAGUGAUCCGCGAGACAGUGCCACAGAGAACAGACCGCCACGGCUUCGGCCGCGGUAAGGGUGAAACGGUGGUGUAAGAGACCACCGGGGUCGUGGUGACACGACCCGCAAGGUAAACCUCGCCCGGAGCAAGGCCAGACAGAGGAUGUUGACGCGGCUCGCCGAGUCCUCGGGUAGGCCGCAGGAGCGGCACGGCAACGUGUCGCCGAGAGAGAUGACCGUCCACGGGGCUUCGGCUCCCGGACAGAACCCGGCGUACAGGCCGGCCCAUUCG
rnacentral:RNase_P_RNA from 1 species